ensembl:lncRNA
ACAGGCAGGCCAGAGAGCUAGAGAAAGGCAGGCCAGAGAGCUAGAAACAGGCGGGACAGAGAGAUAGAGACAGGCAGGCCAGAGAGAUAGAGACAGGCAGGCCAGAGAGAUAGAGUUAGUUGGGCCAGGGAGAUAGAGAGAGGUGUGCCAGAGAGAUAGAGACAGGUGGGCCAGAAAGAUAGAGAAAGGUGGGCCAGAGAGAUAGAGACAGGCGGGCCAGAGAGAUAGAGACAGGUGGGCCAGAGAGAUAAAGACAGGUGGGCCAGAGAGAUAGAGACAGGCGGGCCAGAGAGAUAGAGACAGGCAGGCCAGAGAGAUAGAGACAGGCAGGCCAGAGAGAUAGAGUUAGGCGGGCCAGGGAGAUAGAGAGAGGUGGGCCAGAGAGAUAGAGACAGGUGGGCCAGAGAGAUAGAGACAGGUGGGCCAGAGAGAUAGAGACAGG